CAACAGCUAGAGUUUGAUCCUGGCUACAGGACGAACGCUGGCGGCGUGCCUAACACAUGCAAGUCGAGCGGAGACAUAUUGUGAAGUGGACGGCUUCGGUCAGAAGCGGAACGAUAUGUUUUAGCGGCGGACGGGUGAGUAACGCGUGAGCAACCUGGCCUUCACAGGGGGAUAACACAUCGAAAGGUGUACUAAUACCGCAUAAGACCACAACAGGACAUCCUGCAGGGGUCAAAGGAGGAAUCCGGUGAAGGGUGGGCUCGCGUCCGAUUAGAUAGUUGGUGAGGUAACGGCCCACCAAGUCGACGAUCGAUAGCCGACCUGAGAGGGUGAUCGGCCACAUUGGGACUGAGACACGGCCCAAACUCCUACGGGAGGCAGCAGUGGGGAAUAUUGGGCAAUGGGGGGAACCCUGACCCAGCAACGCCGCGUGAGGGAAGAAGGUUUUCGGAUCGUAAACCUCUGUCCUUGGUGAAGAGGAAGAGACGGUAGCCAAGGAGGAAGCCCCGGCUAACUACGUGCC
rnacentral:rRNA from 1 species